rnacentral:rRNA from 1 species
GACGAACGCUGGCGGCGUGCUUAACACAUGCAAGUCGAACGAAGUGGCGAACGGGUGAGUAACGCGUAAUCAACCUGCCCUUCAGAGGGGGACAACAGGUGGAAACGACUGCUAAUACGGCAUACUGAAGGAGGGGAUUGCGUCUGAUUAGCUAGUGGGGGGGGUAACGGCCCACCAAGGCGAUGAUCAGUAGCCGGUCUUAGAGGAUGAACGGCCACAAUGGGACUGGGACACCGCCCAAACUCCUACGGGAGGCAGCAGUGGGGAAUCUGUCGGAAUUGACUGAAGUCUGAAGGAACAACGCCGCGUUAGUGAUGACGGCCUUCGGGUUGUAAAGAUUCUUUAAUCGGGACGCGGUACCGAACUAGAAAGCCACGGCUAACUACGUGCCAGCAGCCGCGGUAAUUC